UUCAAUAAUGAGGGAGAGUGGAGGAGACUUGCGGAGGGAAAAAUAAUAAUAAUAAACCUUGAAACAUAUCUGAGCUCUCCCAAAGGGCUCCGACCUUCCAUUCCUUAACUGCUCAGUUAAUCAAUUACAAGUAUAUUACUCUCAUUUUCUUAUUAUUCCAUUUCGUUAAGAAGAAAUCCAGUAGAGAGAAAAUUGAGAGAACUAAGAGAGAGAGAAAGAGCGUCAAUGGGUUUCCUGUGAAGUAGGGAGAAAACUUUGGAGAUCAAGGAGAAGAAGGAAGGGUUAAUCAAACAUUCUCCACCAUCUAACUAGGCUUAAGAAGAUCUAAGAGGUAAGAAAGACACUUCAAAACUUCUAAUUCCUAUUUCUUAAGUUUUGCUCUGUUAGAAGUUGUUUGGUUGAAUGAGUUAGAGAAGAGUUCAAAUUAUGUGAUUUCAAUUAAUUAAUAAUCUGAUUUGUGUCAUUUAAAAGUGAAAUUAGAGUAAUCAAAUUCGAAUUUGAGUGUAAAAGAGAAAGAAAUAGACUUUAGACUAAUUUUAGAUCUUUUGGGUUUGUUUUAGAAAAUAAAUUGCUUCUAAUCUUAUGUUUAAAUUCUUGAAUUGAUGGUUGUAUGUUAUAUAUAUCUGAAAUACAAAAAUAAUCCAUUUUAAAUGAAUCAAAUUGGACUUAAAAUGAAUUCGCGGUGAAGGAUUCCGUAAAACAUGUUAAAAUAAGAAAAUAUAACAUGAAUACUGAAUUUGGGUUAUUUAAAUGGUUGGAUAGAAUUCCUGUAAUAUAAAAAUUGUUCUGCAAAGGUGUAUUUUAGUUUGUAGCGAGUUUAUAGAAUUGUAAACUAUCUGAUUUGGUCCAUAAAUGAAUAAGAUAGAAAGUUUGGACGGAAACAGAGUAUGAAAUGAAGCUGCAGGUGGGUGUUGUCGCGCCGUGAUCCAGGUUUAAUUGGGCGCGGUUGCGCUGGUACCAAGGCCAAAUAUGGCACGGCCGCGCUAGUGGCAGAUAAGACCCAAUAAUGAGAUUUUAAAUAUACAAAUUGGGAGAUGUUUUACUUAACUUAUUCUAAUGAACAUGAUGAGAUGUUAAGUGUGUAAAAAGACAUAAUGACAAGUCAUAAUCACAUUAAAGAAUGAUGGGUCAUAGAAUGGACUUAAUGUAAGAGGUUAGUGAACAUUGUUUCAUAGCUGAUCAAAUGUAUUAUCAUGAAUUAAAUGUGUAGGAUAUUUAAAGGACAUGUAUCAUAACUUUGUAGCGGACGCCCAAGGCAAGUUUCCUAACUUUUGCUUAUAUUUCAAUAUUGAGCAACGUUUCAUAUUAUAUACUAUUCCUUUUAUACUUGAAUUAAUUUCCCGAGUAAUUGCAAGGUCUCUAAUUAUUUUUAAAAACAUUACUUUGAUAAUUGACACUUGUUCAAAUAUGAAUCGUUGCAAUUCUAUUUUAAUCGGAAUUAACGAAUUAUGGCAUGUUAAUGUGCCACAUCUUGAGAUGAUUAUUGAAUCCUUUGAUUUAUUAUCGAACCCAUUUGAUUCGGCUAGUCCUUAGUCGAUGAGCGUUCUAAAAAGUCUAGAAUUAUUUCUGAAGUUAUACCGAAUCGAAUUGUUUCGAUAUGGUUUCUUGUGAUAAAUUUGAGAUGAACAACCCUAUUUAGGGGAAAAUGUUAUCGAAAACUAUAAUUCUGAACUACACAAUAGGGAUGAUAUGUUUGUGCACAAUGCAUAGUACGAAAGGCUGAUCACCUGGAGUACGAAGUAAGAUGGUCCAUAAUCUUUUGACUGUUAAAGGUUACAGUAGAAAUACUUGUGAACCUAGGACAUAGUUCGUUGUCUAGUGACCCUCUGUGUAUACAUUGAAUUCAACAUCUGUGAUUUGACUUAGACAAUUAAUUAUCUCAUUGAUUUCACAAGUUCUUGACUUAUGGAUGCAUCUAUUCCAAUAAGGGACUUUUCAUUCAGUUGAAGAAUAAACAUUUGUUUCUUUCACGAGUCAUUUAUUGUAUAUCAUUUUACUUGUGGGCAAAUUGAUUGUUCACCCUUGCAUAACCAUUUCAGCUAAGAUCGAGGAACCUAAGAAGCCUUUUUCGAGCAAAGACAAGGGCAAAAUGCAUGAAUAAAUGAUUUUUAAUUUAUAUUUAUUCAUAUUGAGUUAUGUAAUGGAUUUAAUUACUUUUCUGCAAUUCUGACGUAAUAAAUGUUAGAUGACCUGAGAUAUGUUUAUGUAGGUAAACUUUUAAUAUGGAUUAUUAUAUAUGAUAUUAUUAUCUUAAUUAAUGGGUAGUUUAGAUGUUGUAUGUGAUUGAUCCGUGAGCAUUGAAUUUGUGGAUUAAGGUACCCGAAUUUGUGGGUUAAAAUACCCGAAUUUGAACGCGUCACAUAUACUACAAUACUAAAAAAUCGUAUUUCAACCAAAAAGUGUAAAUUGUCCAUAAAAUAUGGACCGUUGAUGGUGUCAUUGGACCCCAUUAAAUUAUUCAUGAC
rnacentral:lncRNA from 1 species